UGGCAAGGAGGAUUUAAUGUUUAGACAACCAGGCUAGAAGGUAGUAUAUGAAAUUCAUCAGAAGUUCAAAGGGUUUUAGGACUUUGGAGGUAAGAAGGAGUACAACCUGCUGGUAGAAUCAAGGAAAGUUUUAUGGAGGAGGAGUCUCUGAGAAAGGCCUUAAAUAAUGGGGAACAAUUUGACAUUUGAGAAAGAUAUUUUGGAGCAGGAGACAUGAUGAUGGGAGAGAGAGAACCUAUUUGUGAAGCUGUAAUUUGGUUUGGUUAACUUUUGGGCUUUUAGAAGUUCUGUUGAAGGAUAAAAACGGUUAGGAGAGGGUUGAACUGAAAUUCAGAUGUUUCAUAGAUGAAUGAGUAGGAAAGAAUAUACCCAGAGUUAAGCCUUAGAUGGAUUAUUUUAACAGUGGAGCUUGGGACUGAUAGAAGGAAGAAGGGGGCAGAGAGACCACUGGUUCAGUGUAUGCUUAUGGAUUUGGCACACAUUAUUAUGUACUGGCUACAUCAGCUAAAAGGAUAUAGCAGAUACAGUUUCCAAGUGGGCUAGUUGGGAGAAAAGUGAUGUAAUUUUGAACAGAUUUGGAGAAGAAUAGUCAAGAUGUUACUGUGUUGGACAUGAGCAGCCUGAGACUCAGUUGUGUAUUAAGGAUGGUGCUUUAGAGAAAGGACAGGGAAUUCUGGUUGUGGCUAUCUUGAUAUUAGCAAGUGAUGGCUACAGUGUGGGAAUUAAAUUGUGGAGGAAGAGAUCGUAGCUAAAUACUUAACAUUUCUUAAACACAUUAGGCGCUGUGCAGAACACUUUACACAUAUUAUCUCAUUUAAUCCUCCUGACAAUCCCAUAAGGUAGGUGCUAUUAAUUAUAUCUCUUACAUAGAUAACCCACUUCACAGUGAUGGAAAAUGAGGCCCCAGAUCACAACCAGAAAAUUUUAAAUCUGGGGUUGUACCUGAAGCAGGCUGACUUUAAAUCCUGUGUCAAUCUCUGUUUUAUGCAGCUUCCCAGACAGAGCGAGAGAUUACAAACUGGGAGAUGUACGGACACUUUGGGAAGAGAUCAGAAAGAGAAGUUAGCAAGACCAACGAGGAGCAGGGGGAAAAGGACGUUGGAAAGAAGCCCCAGGACGAGUGAGCUUAGGCUUGAGAGCUACCGGCAUUUUGUCAGCUGCACUUUCCAUUCUUCAUCCUGCCUAGUGCCCCAGCUGGAUGACCCAUAUGGGAUGCAUUAACAGUUCCUUUGUCCUCCAUUCUUCUGUUGGAUUUGGCCAGUACCAGCCAUUGACUUAGCUCUCCUAAUCUAGUUUCUCACUUGGAGAAAUGAAACAUAAAUCUAAUCCUUGGAUUUCUCAGAAGCACAGUCAUCUUCCCAAAUGAAAAUCUCGGUAUAAUAAAAAAGACAAAUAACAACAAAUGUUGGCAAGGAUAUGGAGAACCAGAAACAUCAUAUACAGUUGGUAAGAUUGUGAAAUGGUGAAGUAACUUGCUCACAAAUGUUUGGCACUAUUAUUAGUUGCCAAAAUGGAAACAGUCCAAAUGUAACCUGAUGAAUAAGAAAACAAAAAGUGGGAUAUUACUGGGCAAUAAAAAGAAAUGAAGUGCUGAUAUGCUACAACCUGCAUGAACCUUGAAAACAAGUUAAACAAAAGAAGCCAGCUGCAAAGACCAUAAAUUGUAUGAUUCCAUUUAUAUUAAUGACCAGAACAGGAAAAGCAACUGAGACAGAAAGUGUAUUAAUGUUUUCUUAGGAAGGAAGUUGGUAGACAGGAGAUGGGAAGAAAUGCUAGUACCCUUAUGUUCAGGGGAAUAAAAAUGUAAAAUUGAGCACCAGGGAUAUAGCUCAGCAGCACAAGUGCCUACCUGGCAAGCCUAAGGUUCUGAGUUUGAUUCCCGGUACCCAAACAAAAAGUAAUAUUGAACAUGGUGAUGUAACAACUUUGUGAAUGUAUUAAAAACCACUUAAAUCAAUGAAUUUCAUGGUGUCUCAAUAAAUGAUGCAUUAUAAUGUAAAUCCUCAUGAAUAGGGUCAUAUUCUAAAGCUUGUGAAAGUCAGUUCAUCCCUUUUAGGUGUCAAACUCUUCUUCUUUGCAAUGCUGACGUAAGGCUCUCAUGGAGAUGUUGGGAGAGUAAGUGAGACAAUGAAUGUAAGGUUGCUUGCACAGCCUAUGGUUUAUCGUCCAACAUGAUUCAUGCUCUUCCUUACAUGGGUGAAAAUUGUAACAGAGGAACAGUAGCCCCAAUGGAGACUGCAUUCUCCUUGAUUCUUUGAUUGAAGGUCUGCUAUGAUAUAGUUCUGGCCAGUGGCAGGUGAGAAGAUGUGAUAUGCGUGGGCAAAUGGUAACACACUUGUUACAUCUAUUCUACUUUCUUUCCCCCUUUCUACCUCAACGGAGACACUGAUAGAAAAUGCCCAUGUCCUUAAAUCCCCAUGUGAGACAAAAAUACACUUGUCCACACUACAUUUAACUAAUAACCUCAGUGAGAAACAAACUUCUAUAUGGUUAAAGUGUUUUUUAUUACAGCAGUUUUUGUUAUCUUUACUAAGACAAAAAUUCUAGUAGGUACCCAGUAUGUUUUUGACACACAAAAGAGACAUAUUUGUCAUUUGUUAGCACACUUGGAAUGUUCAAUGAAAGCCAAUAGAGACUGGGAAGGGAAGAAUAUUGAAAUCCAAAGGUGCAAGGCAUGAAUGCAUGGGGAAGAGCUGUUCCAUCCUACUCAGAGUCUUAUUAUUUAUUGUGCCAUUCAUAGUUCAACCUUACUUUAGGAACUGGUGUACUUGAUUCAACCCCAAGGUCAUGAUGCAAAUAUUACAUUAAUUCUGAGUCCUUUGUACUAUUUCUAAGUACUCGUCUCUACAGUGAAGACACGUUGUCCAGGAGAGAGCUAGACAUUUAAAAAAGGUAAACAAAGCAUAGGUUAUAUUGAAUGAUGGUAAGUGGCUGGGAAGUAAAUAAGGCAAGGAAAGGUGAGAGAUCUGCUGUGAUGCUUAGUUUUAAAUAAGAUGAUCAAAGACUGUGUCACAGAGAUGGUGGCAUUGGAACAAAGAUUCCAGGACAAUAAGCAACCAAGCAAGCCAUGACUUCCAGAAGAAACAAUAGUACAAAGAUCUGAGAUAGGAACUGAUUGCACUCAAGGAAAUUCAAGGAGGGCAGUGUGGUCAGGGUACAAUAAGCAAGGGGAAGAAACCAUAGAAGAGGGUGAGGUAGAUAGCAUGGAGGCUGGGGGAGGAGAGAAAGAGCACAGAGAGAACCCAAAAGAACUCAAGAUCAGAGAGAAUUGGCUUCCUGUCAUUGACUUCAACAAUGAAAGCCAGCAUUAUGCUCAGAAAGACAGAUAAGUCUAGUUCCAUUUCAACAGAUACUGUUUCAGGAAUUAGGCAAUAAUGUCACAGCAGGAACCAGACAGAACUCCAUGAUGAAAGAUAACCAAGAUGAUCUGUAACUCUUGCCACUGUGGAGUUGCCUCAGUGCCCAAGUACACCAUAUAACAUAUUUGUAGAGAGGCAAACAAGUUUGAAGGACUGCUUACUUACCAGAGGUGGAUUAAUUGGGAAGAAAUUGAGUUUCUAGGAUUAAGGAAACAAGGACACUAUGUUUUCUUUGCAUAUCUCAGUUGUACUAGAUUAGUUUUGAUCUGUACUACAACUCUAUAAAUUGACUCUGUUUCAAUGAAAUUAAGGUGAUAUUUUUCUGGGCAUAUAUCUACCUAAAAUUAUAUGAGAAACUCUAAAUUUAAAUUUAUUUCAUAGAGUACAAUUUAUGAUAUAUAUGACACAACAACUUAUUUAUUAACUUUAAGGGAAGACAUCCCAACAUUUGAUCUAAAUUUUUAAAACAAAAGUUUUAAAUGCUUAGCAUAUUUCUGUCUAUUGACAUUGUAUGAAUACAAUUAAUCCAUUUUUUUU
rnacentral:lncRNA from 1 species